CAACCGUACCUUAACGUUCAAACGCGAUUCGAUUCGAGAUCGUCGGAAGCAGCGGAAGUACUCUGAGCUUCCAGAGAUUUGACUGAAACUGCAGCCACACUACGAAGAUAGUGAUAUCUCGUAGGAUAUUAUACACAUAAGGAGUGAAAUAUUCAGCUCGAAGAAUUGGAUCGGGAGAAUCGUCUCCGAGAGACCAAUCAUAUUGGCUUAUUUGAAGCCUCGAAGCACCGCAAUGUCCAGAGAGGAACUAUUUUCUGCGUUAUAUCUAAUUGAAAUUGCGUCAUUUUACGAAGACAGCGAUGAUAUCUGACGCAAGGAGCGAAAUAUUAAGAUCAGAUUCGGAAAAAUCGUCUCCAGAAGGCUAUCAAGUGCGAUGUAGCGCGCUGAGUGUUGUGCGAUCUUCAAAACUAUAAUAAACUUACGGCGCGCUCUAAGUUACAAUAGCUUGGGUAUGAAAACGAGCGUAUUACGAUGUAUAUGCAUUUUUUCACCUUUCCUGAGUUAGCUCAACGUUCGUGCGACAAACUAUGACACACUGCAAAUGCGAUCGUCAUUCUAGGAUUACGAGCAGAGUAUCUGAAACAUACAGGGAGUACUAUUUUCAUUUGAAUUGAAAGUAAAAUAGAUAAUUACGAAAUAAACGAUCUUAUAAUUUUGAUAAUCUGUACUUAACUUAGUUAUGUUCGAUGUGACCAACUGGAAACAACUUGGCCAUUGUCACUAAUUAGAAACAUUAUUUUUUCUGUUUUGUCUCUUUGUCUAUCUCUUUCCAUCUCUAUCUUUCACUCUAUUUAAAUAAUUCAAUAAUUUGUAUUUUUAAUAAUAUGCAUUUUUAUAACCUUUAUAACAUAAGAUCAUAAAAAAUGUUUCGUAAUUAACUCUAAUUACGUAAUGAAAGUAAGUGUAGAUUUCUGUUCACAAAAGACAAUGCCAUUGUAACAAAUUACUUCAUCAUGUCAAGGAUUUAAAGUUCAUUUAAAUUUUCAUUUAAUUAUUUAUUUAAUUGUUCAUUUAAGAUAAGUAUAUUUCUACGCACUAUAUUCUUAAUAUAAAAUCAUAUUUGCUAUUUGUGAGACGAUAUUUUUAUCUUCUGUAUAAAUUAAUAAUAUUCAUCUAUUUUUAUUAAUGUUAAGUGAUUUGUUGCACAUUUUU